rnacentral:rRNA from 1 species
AUUAACGCUGGCGGCAUGCCUAAUACAUGCAAGUCGAACGAGAGUAGCAAUACUCUAGUGGCGAACGGGUGAGUAACACAUGGGUAACUUGUCCUAAAGUCGAGGAUAACAGUUGGAAACGACUGCUAAUACUGGAUAGGUUGAAUUAAUGCAUGUUAAUUCAAUUAAAGAUGCGUAUGCAUCACUUCAGGAGAGGCCUGCGUCGCAUUAGCUAGUUGGUGGGGUAAUAGCCUACCAAGGCGACGAUGCGUAGCUGUGCUGAGAGGCAAAACAGCCACACUGGGACUGAGACACGGCCCAGACUCCUACGGGAGGCAGCAGUAGGGAAUUUUCGGCAAUGGACGAAAGUCUGACCGAGCAAUGCCGCGUGAACGAUGAAGGUCUUCGGAUUGUAAAGUUCUGUUGUUAGGGAAGAAUGGUAUAAUCAGGAAAUGGGUUAUAUUUGACGGUACCUGACGAGAAAGCCCCGGCUAACUAUGUG